rnacentral:sRNA from 1 species
GGCGCAGUGGCGGGCACCUGUAGUCCCAGCUACUCGGAAGGCUGAGGCAGGAGAAUGGCAUGAACCCGGGAGGCGGAACUUGCAUUGAGCCGAGAUAGCGCCACUGCACUCCAGCCUGGGCGAAAGAGCAAGACUCCAUCUCAAAAAAAAAGAGGUGGGCAAGAGUCCUCCAGCCCUGGUCCCAGCCUUAGUUUCAGAGGUGAAGGUGCCUGACAUCCUAGGAGGCCCUAAGUGCCUCAGGUGGCCAGUGCACUUGCAAGGAGGCUACAACCAAGUGGGCUCCUUCCAGGCUCCACCUCUGCUCUGCCCUGCCAGCCUUGGAAAUGGCAGCUAGAUCCCCCAGGCCCCGCAGAGCUCCUUAAAUUGGAAGGCAUCCUGGAAGUGCACUGAGGACAGCAUGUGUAUAUCGGGAUGGCCAUAUUUGCCCUAUGGCUGGUCACACAAGAUGUUGAGUGGUGUAGCUGAAGUCCCUUUGCUGUGGGAGGCAGCAGUGAACAGCAGAAGUUGUGGGCUUAGGUUUUGGUUACAGACUUGCCAGCUGUGCUGACUUCAGGCCAAUGAAUUCCCCUCUCUGAGGCUCAGUUUCUUCAUUUCUAAAGUGAGGAUAAUAAUGGUACCAUUUUUCUGAGCUGCAAGUUGCUGUGUUCCAUGUGAUGCUAUCCACACUUAACAAAGCCCAUGGUCAGUCUCUGCUUGCGUUCCCACCCUUCACUCUUGUUCUCUAACCAGUUGCUCCAGCUGCACAGUUCUUUGGUCGCCUUGCUGAUCUGCAGAUUUCUUUGGCUUAUUCCUGUGGCUCCUUGGAGAUUCUUGGCAUGAUGAGAUCCCCAGUCCAGGAGAGGCUGGCAGCCCCCUGGCGGGGUGGAACAUGACAGGUUGGGGUAUGCCCAGGAUCUGAUUGAGUGCUUUCACCUAGGAAACUGGAGGCGACCAGUGCCCAGAAUAUCGAGUUCCUACAGGUGAUUGCCAAGAGGGAGGAGGCAAUCCACCAGUCCCAGCUGCGGCUGGAGGAGAAAACACGGGAAUGUGGGACCCUGGCAAGGCAGUUGGAGAGCGCCAUUGAAGAUGCGAGGAGGCAGGUGGAACAAACCAAGGAGCACGCACUCUCCAAGGAGCGAGCAGCCCAGAACAAAAUCCUGGACCUUGAGACCCAGCUGAGCAGAACCAAAACGGAACUGAGCCAGCUGCGGCGGAGCCGUGAUGAUGCGGACCGCCGCUACCAGAGCCGGCUGCAAGACCUGAAAGAUCGCCUGGAGCAGUCCGAGAGCACCAACCGCAGCAUGCAGAACUACGUCCAGUUCCUCAAAUCAUCAUACGCCAACGUGUUUGGGGAUGGUCCCUAUUCCACCUUCCUGACCAGCUCUCCCAUCCGCUCCCGAUCUCCUCCUGCCUGAGGCCACCUAUCGGGGCCUGGAGCCCUGAUGGAAGCCAUAGGAACUCCAGAGUUGCCAAGCCAUAGCUGAGAAGCCUGGUGGUUUUCCUCUCCCAGUGAUAAAAUGGGUUCAGGGUCUUGUCCUUAGCUACUAGCUC